AUAAGUAAGAGCUUGGACGUGGCUCUGGAUGAACGGUAUCUAGUGGCGUCACACAUGCGAGUCCAAUGACCAGUUGGUCAUGGCGUACGGGUGAGUAGAGGAAGGAACCUGCCUUCAGCUUCGGUUUAAUGCCGUAAAAGGAAAGCUUUUCGACUGAAGAUGGGCCUUUAUUGGAAUAGAUAGUUGGUGGAGGUAACGGCCUACCAAGUCGAUGAACCAUAGCUGGCCUGAAAGGGUAAUCAGUCACAGUGGCACUGAAACAAGGGCCACCCGACCGAGGGUCGGCAGCAGUGGGGAAUAUUGGACAAUGAGGGCAACCUUGAUCCAGCCAACUAGAUGGGAGAUUCCUAUUAAGGUUCUAUCCCUAAGGUAGAGGAGCAUGAUGAGAUCUCUCUGCUAUCAGUCCCGACCAAACCUCGUGCCAGCAGUCGCGGUAAUACGAGGGGGGUUUCCGUUAUCCGUCAUAAAUGGGCCUAAAGAGUCUCUAGGCAGCCCGGUAAGCUUGAGAAAAUUGGAUGAAGAGAUCUGCAGUAAAGCCGGGGUGGUAAACCACCCGCUGGCUUAACCCAGCCCUCUGAUUCCAAGAGAACUGCCGAAGCUUGAGUGUAAUGCGGGGAUAGGUAACUCCUGGUGUAGGGAUAGAAUCCGUUGAUACCUGGAGGAGCGCUAGGGCGAAGGCCCUAUCCUGAGUAACCACUGACGCUGAGAUACGAUAGUGUGGGGAGCGAAGAGGAUUAGAUACCCUCCUAGUCCACACCUUAAACGAUGGAGGCUAUAGGAAGGGAACGGGGGGUCUCACCCUAGUAGCGAAGGCAUUAAGCUUCCCGCCUGGGGAGUAAGAAGGCAACUUUGAAACCCAAACGUCUAGACGGCCCUGAAGACCAGCAGUGAAGCAUGUUGUUUAAUACGAUACCCCGCGUACUACCUCACCUCUCCUUGAAUGGUGCAUUGUCAUCACAGGUGCUGCAUGGCUGUCUUUAGUUCGUGUUGUGAAAUUUGAGGUUUAGUCCGCUAACGAACGAAACCCCGCCUGAUAAUUCAGAGAACACGAGCUGCCUAUUACCUUGGUUUACUAAAUCUACGAUUCAUUCGGAAAAAAGGGGGAAACCAUCUUAACUUAAUCCCCUGAGAUUUCACACGGGUGUCGGUGUUAAGGAGGCUUGUUACGAGACGCUCAACCAUAUGAUAAUCCAAACUAAAAAGGGUAUUUACAUACGAGCAGGUUCGUUGGAAAGCUUCAGGGGGCCUUAUUGACAAAACCCUGCCAAUUACGUGCUAAUUAGUUAGUUUUCCUCAUGCUGCUACCAACUACCAGCUACCAACCAUACCAAGCAAAGUAUGCCGUGUAUCCCGAGUGCCGCUUUAGUUCAGCUAUCUAAUUAUGCUAGCUAGCACCAGAAGGGAACAUAGUGACUUCAGGGAUAAUAACUUGCUAUGGGUUAUAAGAUAGCUACGUAAGCAUAAGCAUAGGGAAGGAAAGAUGAAAGAGGUAGGUCACCCAUUAAGCUAAGGUAACAGGUUGAUCCGUGUAUUAUCAGGGUAUGAUGCAAUGAGCGUCGGUAAUAGGGACAACGACAAGCCCUCAUGGCCCUUAUGGAGUGGGCAAUAGUAACGUGCCACAAAUACUCAUUCAAUGGGAGGCAAUGGUGUGAGCCGGAGCUAAGCCUUAACCCAAGUAAGUGUACGAACUGUGCUCUGUAACUCGAGCACACGAAGCAGGAAUUGCUAGUAAUCGUGAAUCAGCACGCCACGGUGAAACUUCUCUUCGAGGAGCACUGACUGUCCAUCAGGCGGGGAAAGUUGGUUCUAUCCGAAGACGGUUUAAACUUACUAGCUAUUUGAGCUAUGUUUUUAUAGUUGGUAAUCAUUUAAAUUGUUUAGGUGGCAUCGGCGAUUCCUGUUAAGUUGUAGCAAGGUCACGGUUCGUGAACGAGUCGUGGAACGUAUCAAACG
rnacentral:rRNA from 1 species